CGCGUAGGUGGUAGUGAAAGUCUAUGGUGGAAUCUUAGGGCUUAACCCUAAAACUGCCUUGGAAACCUCAUUACUUGAGUCAGUGAGGGGAGGGUAGAAUUCCUGGUGUAGCGGUGAAAUGCGUAGAUAUCAGGAGGAAGGCCGGUGGCGAAGGCGGCCCUCUGGCGCUGAACUGACGCUGAGGCGCGAAAGCGUGGGUAGCAAACAGGAUUAGAUACCCUGGUAGUCCACGCCCUAAACGGUGGGUACUAGGUGUAGGGCUCGUAAGGGUUCUGUGCCGAAGGGAAACCAUUAAGUACCCCGCCUGGGGAGUACGGCCGCAAGGUUGAA
rnacentral:rRNA from 1 species